rnacentral:rRNA from 1 species
UACGAAGGGUGCUAGCGUUGUUCGGAAUCACUGGGCGUAAAGCGUGCGUAGGCGGUUCGUUAAGUCCGUUGUGAAAGCCCUGGGCUCAACCUGGGAAUGGCAGUGGAUACUGGCGAGCUAGAGUGUGAUAGAGGAUGGUGGAAUUCCCGGUGUAGCGGUGAAAUGCGUAGAGAUCGGGAGGAACACCAGUGGCGAAGGCGGCCAUCUGGAUCAACACUGACGCUGAGGCACGAAAGCGUGGGGAGCAAACAGG